rnacentral:rRNA from 1 species
AUUGAACGCUGGCGGAAUGCUUUACACAUGCAAGUCGAGCGGCAGCGCGGGGGCAACCCUGGCGGCGAGCGGCGAACGGGUGAGUAACAUAUCGGAACGUACCCAGUCGUGGGGGAUAACUAUCCGAAAGGAUAGCUAAUACCGCAUACGUCCUGAGGGAGAAAGCGGGGGAUCGCAAGACCUCGCGCGAUUGGAGCGGCCGAUAUCGGAUUAGCUAGUUGGUGGGGUAAAGGCUCACCAAGGCGACGAUCCGUAGCGGGUCUGAGAGGACGACCCGCCACACUGGAACUGAGACACGGUCCAGACUCCUACGGGAGGCAGCAGUGGGGAAUUUUGGACAAUGGGGGCAACCCUGAUCCAGCCAUUCCGCGUGAGUGAAGAAGGCCCUAUGGGUCGUAAACUGCUUUUACACCGGAGAAAACCUUCCCUACGUGAGGGGAGCUGAUAGUAUGGUGAGAAUAAGCAUCGGCUAACUUCGUGCCAGCAGCCGCGGUAAUGUACAGUGU